ensembl:misc_RNA Metazoa_SRP Metazoan signal recognition particle RNA
GCCGGGCAUAGUGGCGCAUGCCUGUAAUCCUAGCUACUUGGGAGGCUGAGGCACAAGAAUCGCUUGAACUCAGGAGCUGGAGGUUGCAGUGAGCUGAGAUCACACCACUGCACUCCAGCCUGGGCAACAGAGCGAGACUCUGUCUCAA